AAAUAGUGGAUCACAUACAAGCUCUAUUAAGGCUAUCCAAAGAAGCUUAACAUGAGUUGAUGUCUAAAUCUAUUCAUUUUCCACCAUUAGCUUCUAAAUACCAUGAAUAAGACUUCUCUAUGCCUGUUUUGUCAUUGGCUAAGUCCUUAUUAAAAUUGUACCUCCAUAUGCCUUAAAAUGCUUAAUGUGUGCUUUAACUUUUUUUUGUGCUCAAUUCACCUCUUUAUGCUUUAUAAGCUCUUCCAUGCUCUUAUAAAC
rnacentral:misc_RNA from 1 species